UACAGAGGUCUCAAGCGUUGUUCGGAUUCAUUGGGCGUAAAGGGUGCGUAGGUGGCGCCGUAAGUCGGGGUGUGAAAUUUCGGAGCUUAACUCCGAAACUGCAUUCGAUACUGCGGUGCUUGAGGAGCUGGAGAGGAGACUGGAAGUUCAUGGUGUAGCAGUGAAAUGCGUAGAGAUCAUGAGGAAGACCAGUGGCGAAGGCGGGUCUCUGGGCAAUAACUGACGCUGAGGAGCGAAAGCGUGGGGAGCGAACAGG
rnacentral:rRNA from 1 species